ACAUUACCGACUUAUCGACAUUGUCGUCCUGCAAACGUCACAGGCAUUGGACUUUCAGUGUUAUUUUGUUCGCAUUUCCUUGCGAAAAACAGCGCAAAUACCUCAAAAAUCGCUGCAAAAUGUACGCCAACAAGGAGUACAAUGAGGACUACAUCUACGAGUACGACGUACCUCAGCAAAGGAUCUAUUCGCCGAGAAGAGCAGCAUUAUCCUGAAAUUAUGGAUCUCAUCGCGCACGACUUUCCGGGAAGCCGACAAACUGCCAAACUUCUACCGGCGCCACGACAAGGCGGCGGAGCGGAUUGCCGGCGCAGGGGGCGAUUGAGGAGGUGCUGCAGCACAAGCUGACAGGCUGCAGGAAGUCGCACGAGGGCAAAAGCAGACACAAAGCCGGGCGUGCAGCAACUCACGGCCGGGAAGGCGUCGGCCGCCGUGAAUUGCCUCACGGACACGUCGAAGUACACGGGAUCGCAUCGCGAGCGCUUCGACGAGAGUGGCACGGGGAAGGACAUUUAAAAUUGGCAAAUGGCGCGUCAACAAGCCAACGAUCCAAGAUUUGAAAUUGGACUACAUCUACGAGUACGACGUACCUCAGCAAAGGAUCUUCCCGAGAAGAGCAGCAUUAUCCUGAAAUUAUGGAUCUCAUCGCGCACGACUUUCCGGGAAGCCGACAAACUGCCAAACUUCUACCGGCGCCACGACAAGGCGGCGGAGCGGAUUGCCGGCGCAGGGGGCGAUUGAGGAGGUGCUGCAGCACAAGCUGACAGGCUGCAGGAAGUCGCACGAGGGCAAAAGCAGACACAAAGCCGGGCGUGCAGCAACUCACGGCCGGGAAGGCGUCGGCCGCCGUGAAUUGCCUCACGGACACGUCGAAGUACACGGGAUCGCAUCGCGAGCGCUUCGACGAGAGUGGCACGGGGAAGGGCAUCGCCGGGCGGAAGAAGGGCACAACGUUCCUCAGCAAAGCAUCUAUUCCGACAUUACCGACUUAUCGACAUUGUCGUCCUGCAAACGUCACAGGCAUUGGACUUUCAGUGUUAUUUUGUUCGCAUUUCCUUGCGAAAAACAGCGCAAAUACCUCAAAAAUCGCUGCAAAAUGUACGCCAACAAGGAGUACAAUGAGGACUACAUCUACGAGUACGACGUACCUCAGCAAAGGAUCUAUUCGCCGAGAAGAGCAGCAUUAUCCUGAAAUUAUGGAUCUCAUCGCGCACGACUUUCCGGGAAGCCGACAAACUGCCAAACUUCUACCGGCGCCACGACAAGGCGGCGGAGCGGAUUGCCGGCGCAGGGGGCGAUUGAGGAGGUGCUGCAGCACAAGCUGACAGGCUGCAGGAAGUCGCACGAGGGCAAAAGCAGACACAAAGCCGGGC